rnacentral:misc_RNA from 1 species
CCGCGAUACGCGAGCGCCUCUGCAUCUCCACUACCACCACCCACUACCCACCAUCACACCCUCCUGCUCGGAAUCGAUUUUCCGGUUGCGCGCUUGACGCGUUGAGCCACUCCUUUCCACGAAGGAAAGCGCACACAGGCACGGCGAAACGGUGGUGCCUCCAUGUGGAGGGUGUCGUGCGGCCACCGGGUCGCACCUCGUCGACUUUCGUCCUCUCUUUCAUGACUCUCUCUGAUUUCCCGCUUGACGGCACGCACGGCGGCGAGCGGGGCCCGGGAGGGGGAGGGAAGGGAUCCACGACAACGCUGAGGCUUUGCGGUGUGGUACUCGCGCUGCUGCUCUGGCGUGAUGGCGCGGCUUGGAUGCCGGCACCCCUCCCUCCUCCCCUCUCCCAUCUUUCUCUUCCGUCGUCGGUAUACGUGUUGGACCUUCCCAGCGCCCAAAACUGCGUGGGCGUUAGAGAGAGAGAGAACCCACAAGAGAAAGACAGAGCCGCUCGCCCGGUCGUACGCGCGUGGUGCUUGAAGCCGUUUUCUGGCCGCAUCUCAUCGCACUCUCCCUGUGUCGGAGGUGUUUCAAAGUGCUGCGCGGGAGUGCGGGAGUGCGUGUCUAUGUCACCCACCCACGCAGAGGGCCAGCCGAGCACACAGACGCCCGUGAGCCUUCACGCUCGAGCGGGCACGCGUCCACAGAAAUGGCCCCGCUCGUCAUCGACAUCUUGUCCCUAUUCUCUCCUCUCUUCUUCGUAACGUCGCUUGUUAG